CCUACGGGUGGCUGCAGUGGGGAAUAUUGCACAAUGGGCGCAAGCCUGAUGCAGCCAUGCCGCGUGUGUGAAGAAGGCCUUCGGGUUGUAAAGCACUUUCAGCGGGGAGGAAGGCGUUAAGGUUAAUAACCUUGGCGAUUGACGUUACCCGCAGAAGAGGCACCGGCUAACUCCGUGCCAGCAGCCGCGGUAAUACGGAGGGUGCAAGCGUUAAUCGGAAUUACUGGGCGUAAAGCGCACGCAGGCGGUCUGUCAAGUCGGAUGUGAAAUCCCCGGGCUCAACCUGGGAACUGCAUUCGAAACUGGCAGGCUAGAGUCUUGUAGAGGGGGGUAGAAUUCCAGGUGUAGCGGUGAAAUGCGUAGAGAUCUGGAGGAAUACCGGUGGCGAAGGCGGCCCCCUGGACAAAGACUGACGCUCAGGUGCGAAAGCGUGGGGAGCAAACAGGAUUAGAUACCCGUGUAGUC
rnacentral:rRNA from 1 species